GAUGAAGAACGCAGCGAAAUGCGAUACGUAAUGUGAAUUGCAGAAUUCAGUGAAUCAUCGAAUCUUUGAACGCAUAUUGCGCUCUCUGGUAUUCCGGAGAGCAUGCUUGUUUGAGUAUCAGUAAACACCUCAACUUCCAUAUCUUUUUUUGAAAUGGGAGUUGGACUUGAGUGAUCCCAACGCUUUUCCUCACCGAAAAGUGGCGGGUUACUUGAAAUGCAGGUGCGGCUGGACUUUUCUCUGAGCUAUAAGCAUAUCUAUUUAGUCUGCCUAAAAAACAGAUUAUUACCUUUGCUGCAGCUAACAUAAAGGAGAUUAGUUCUUGUGCUGACUGAUGCAGGAUUCACAAAGACAGCUUCGGCCGACUUUGUAAACUCGAUCUCAAAUCAAGUAAGACUACCCGCUGAACUUAAGCAUAUCAAUAAGCGGAGGA
rnacentral:misc_RNA from 1 species